rnacentral:rRNA from 1 species
UUGAACGCUGGCGGCAGGCCUCACACAUGCCAGUCGAGCGGAUGAAGGGAGCUUGCUCCUGGAUUCAGCGGCGGACGGGUGAGUAAUGCCUAGGAAUCUGCCUGGUAGUGGGGGAUAACGUCCGGAAACGGGCGCUAAUACCGCAUACGUCCUGAGGGAGAAAGUGGGGGAUCUUCGGACCUCACGCUAUCAGAUGAGCCUAGGUCGGAUUAGCUAGUUGGUGGGGUAAAGGCCUACCAAGGCGACGAUCCGUAACUGGUCUGAGAGGAUGAUCAGUCACACUGGAACUGAGACACGGUCCAGACUCCUACGGGAGGCAGCAGUGGGGAAUAUUGGACAAUGGGCGAAAGCCUGAUCCAGCCAUGCCGCGUGUGUGAAGAAGGUCUUCGGAUUGUAAAGCACUUUAAGUUGGGAGGAAGGGCAGUAAGUUAAUACCUUGCUGUUUUGACGUUACCAACAGAAUAAGCACCGGCUAACUUCGU